GUGCCAGCCGCCGCGGUACUACCGGCAGCCCGAGUGAUGGCCGAUCUUAUUGGGCCUAAAGCGUCCGUAGCUGGCUACGCAAGUCCAUCGGGAAAUCCACUCGCUCAACGAGUGGCCGUCCGGUGGAAACUCCACACCUUGGGACCGGAAGGCUCGAAGGGUACGGCCGGGGUAGGAGUGAAAUCCUGUAAUCCCGCCCGGGCCACCGAUGGCGAAAGCACUUCGAGAAAACGGAUCCGACAGUGAGGGACGAAAGCUAAGAUCGCGAACCGGAUUAGAUACCCGAGUAGUCC
rnacentral:rRNA from 1 species